CCCCCGCCGGUCCUUCGCAGUGCAAUUGCAAGAGGCCAGAGAACAGCGCCAAGCAAUAGCACCUGGCCAACAGUGGGUCAAGGUUGCGCGCGUCCGCCGCCAGAGGGCAGCGAGAGUCCCUAUCUGUGCACGCCGCGAGCGCCGCCAGUGCACACGUCCGUCCCCGAGCGUAGGGCGUCACACUGCUGGGCGCUCUGCAGACUUCCUGGCUCUAGUGCCUCGCUCCCUCGCUCCUUGUGCUGUUGUCGGAGGCAGUGGUGAGGAACCUGUGGCUGUGGGGACACUCUGGCCUCUGCCGCCGUGGUGUACAGUGCGUGCUGGCGUUGCUCCCGAGCGGUGUUUAGGAUUUAAAUAGUGACGAAAAAAAAGAAAAAAAUAAGUUUGGUUUGUUACUUGAUAUCACGUGGAUUUGCCAUCACAUCUGGAGGUGUGAAUACCCAGAUGAUGAAAUAAGGACGAAGUUUGAUACUAAAUUCAACGUAGCACCGCCCUUACAAGGUUCAGGAUGGGCCACCUGGAGACCGCCCUUCCACGCCUCCCGCUCCUCCUGGUGGCGUGCCUGCUCUUCCUCCAGUCCUGCGCAGCCGCCGCCGAGGACAAGCCGUUCAUCCGCAAGACGACCACGGCGCCCCGGGAGUUCCGAGGGGCGAGACGCCUGCUCACGUGC